rnacentral:rRNA from 1 species
AUUGAACGCUGGCGGCAUGCCUAACACAUGCAAGUCGAACGGGGGUAGCGAUACCCUAGUGGCGGACGGGUGAGGAACGCGUAGGAAUUGGCCCACGAGUGGGGGACAACCUGGGGAAACCCAGGCUAAUACCGCAUACGCUCGCGAGAGGAAAGCGGGGGAUCUACGGACCUCGCGCUGGUGGACAAGCCUACGUCCGAUUAGCUAGUUGGCAGGGUAAAAGCCUACCAAGGCGACGAUCGGUAGCUGGUCUGAGAGGAUGAUCAGCCACACUGGGACUGAGACACGGCCCAGACUCCUACGGGAGGCAGCAGUGGGGGAAUAUUGGACAAUGGGCGCAAGCCUGAUCCAGCAAUGCCGCGUGGGUGAAGACGGCCUGCGGGUUGUAAAGCCCUUUAAGCGGGGAGGAACGCCGGAACGCGAAUACCGUUUCGGACUGACGUUACCCGCAGAAUAAGCACCGGCUAACUCCGUGCCAGCAGCCGCGGUAAU